rnacentral:lncRNA from 1 species
GACGGGCAACAGGGAAUAAGGUCACCCAGAGCAUCACCGGCCCUCUUCACCCCUUUCUCACCCUGACCCCCUCCCUGCACUCUGGAAAUGCUCACCCUCUCUCCCACACCUCCAAAGAUCGCUGGUGUAUCUAUCCACUUCUAGUGGGGAUGCACCAGUCUAGGCUGGGACCUGAAAUAACUACCACAUGGAAUAAUAAUGCUUCUAUUGGUUGGGUCCCUUCGAGGCCCAAGGCAAGUGGGAGCGGGGUAACAACCUACAGGGCAAACAGGCAAACUCCCCUGCCCCCUGACCGGGCGAGGCACACCGGCUCUCAUGCUCCGGGCAGCGGUUCCCAGCCCGCCCUGGGGCGCAGGAGCCGCGGGUUGGACUAGGAGUGCGAGACGCCGGGUAGGAGCG